GGGAGCCCGUCUGACCCCUAACCGGGCCACUCUUCAGUACCAAGCGGGCACUGGCUGUUUGUUUUUACAGUUGAGGAAAUCACCCUGCCUCCUUUCC
rnacentral:lncRNA from 1 species